CGCUGACCCCGCUGACCGCCCCCUCCCCGGGGCCGUCCCCUCAGGGCAUCGGCUGCUACAUGUUCCGCAUCGACGAGGCCGAGGUGGUGGACGCCACCAUGCACGGCAGCGCCGCGCGCUUCAUCAACCACUCGUGCGAGCCCAACUGCUACUCGCGCGUCAUCCACGUCGAGGGCCACAAGCGCAUCGUCAUCUUCGCCCUGCGCCGCAUCCUGCGCGGCGAGGAGCUCACCUACGACUACAAGUUCCCCAUCGAGGAGCCGGCCGCCAAGCUGCCCUGCAACUGCGGCGCCCGGCGCUGCCGGCGCUUCCUCAACUGAGCCCGGGGAGGGUCUCCGGGGCGGGGUCCUGGAGGGCGGUGGGAUGGAGGUGUGGGAGGACGGAGAGGUUCUGGAGGCGGUUGGAGGCGAUCGGGAGUUGAGGGCGGGGUUUUGGAGAAGGUUGAGGAGGUGGUUGUGGUCGACCAGGAGUUGUGGUGGUCGACCAGGAGUUGUGGUGGUCAACCGAGAGUCCUGGAGGUCAUCCAAGAGUUGUGGUGGUCAACCGAGAAUCACAGUGGUCAACCGAGAGUUGUGGUGAUCANGUCCAAGAAUCAUCGUGGUCAACCAAGAGUCAUUGGGGUCAACCAAGAGUCCUGGAGAUCAUCCAAGAGUUGUGGUGGUCAACCAAGAGUCGUGGAAGUCAACCCAGAAUCAUGGUGGUCAACCAACAGUUGUGGUCAACCAAGAAUCAUGGUGGUCAACCAAGAGUCAUGGUGGUCAACCAAGAGUUGUGGUGAUCACCCAAGAGUCCUGGAGGUCAACCAAGAAUCAUGGUGGUCAACCAGCAGUUGUGAUGGUCAACCAAGAAUCACGGUGGUCAGCCAAGAGUCAUUGGGGUCAACCAAGAGUCCUGGUGGUCAACCAAGAAUCAUGGAGGUCAACCAGGAGCCCUGGAGGUCAUCCAAAAGCUGUGGUGGUCAGCCAAGAGUCGUGGUGGUCAACCAAAAGCCAUAGGGGUCAACCAAGAGUCCUGGGAAGAAGAUACUGAGGUGGUCCUGGAAGCCAUGGAGAUGCCUCCAGUCAACUGGGAAGACCCAAAAGUCACGGAGAGGUCCUGGAAGUCGUGGAGAUGCCUCCAGUCAAUCAAGAGUUGUGGAGGCCAACCAAGAGUCAUGAGGAGAAGAUGUUUGGAUGCUCCUGGAAGUCACUGAGAUGCCUCCAGUCAACUGGAAGGUCCCAAAAAUCACGGGAAUAAAAUUUUGGGGAACUCCCGGAAGUCCUUGAGAUGCCUCCAGUCAACUGGAAGGUCCCAAAAAUCAGGGGAAUGAAAUUUUAGGGAACUCCUGGAAGUCCUUGAGAUGCCUCCAGUCAACUGGAAGGUCCCAAAAAUCACGGGAACGAAAUUUUGAGGAACUCCCGGAAGUCCU
rnacentral:lncRNA from 1 species